UACGUAGGGUGCAAGCGUUGUUCGGAUUCAUUGGGCGUAAAGGGUGCGUAGGCGGCGCGGUAAGUCGGAUGUGAAAUCUCGGAGCUUAACUCCGAAACUGCAUUCGAUACUGCCGUGCUUGAGGACUGGAGAGGAGACUGGAAUUUACGGUGUAGUGGUGAAAUGCGUAGAGAUCAGGCGGAACACCCGUGGCGAAGGCGGCCAGCUGGGCCGUCCCUGACGCUGAGGCGCGAAGGCGUGGGGAGCGAACGGG
rnacentral:rRNA from 1 species